rnacentral:rRNA from 1 species
UACCAGCACCCCGAGUGGUCGGGACGUUUUAUUGGGCCUAAAGCAUCCGUAGCCGGUUCUACAAGUCUUCCGUUAAAUCCACCUGCUCAACAGAUGGGCUGCGGAAGAUACUAUAGAGCUAGGAGGCGGGAGAGGCAAGCGGUACUCGAUGGGUAGGGGUAAAAUCCGUUGAUCCAUUGAAGACCACCAGUGGCGAAGGCGGCUUGCCAGAACGCGCUCGGACGGUGAGGGAUGAAAGCUGGGGGGAGCAAACCGG